UUCAUUUCCUUGCUUUCCCCACAGCAGCAAACCACUGCCACCUUCCCCCUGGCUCUGCUGGACCCUGGUCAGCUGUGGCUCCCUGUUCCCUGGGCCUUUCUUGGAAAGCCAUCUCCACAGUUUCCAGCAUUCUGCCUGAAUUUCAGCACUAUUCAGGGAGCUGAAGGUUGUGAGGUGCUGCAGGGCUGCAGAUGCCUGCCUGGUGUUGGGCAAAUAAACAGCUCCAUUGCUGCUUCAGCAUUGUGGUAGUGUUCAUGGGGGUUAAAAAUGGCCAGUGAGGAAGCUGAGAGCUGGCCUGUGCCAUCAGGAGCAAACGGAGCUGGCCUGGUGGGAGCUCCUUGAUCUCCAGCAUGACUUCCACUCUGCCCUAACAACCCCAAUUUAUCCGGCAGCUGUGACCAGAGAUCAGCUCACGGUCUCCAAGGAGCUUAGAGGCAUAAGAAUAUGCAUCAGAAAGAAGAGAGCACAGAAGGGGGAGAAAGGAGAAGAAAUCUCAUUCUUUACUCCUCCUGGGGUACAAAAGGGGCUAUUUUGAUUCUGCAACCUACUGCAGUGUAGUGUUUUCUUCAUCUGCAUGCAGUUGCUCCUGUGUUUUUGCUGCACUCAUAAUUUGCCAAACUUUUUUUUUUUUGGAUUUAAGUGAAGGGAAAGGUAUGUUCCUAUCCCAUGCAGUCAGACACUGUGGAAAAUGUGAUAGCUUACAGCACAGACCUUCUGCCAGUGGGAAAAUAAAAAUGACAGCAUAAACCCCACAUUUUAGUCUUUGAAAAAAAAAAUAAAAUUACCCUUUACGCUCUUUCUGCCCUGUUUCAUGCCGGGCCAAGACUCCUCUCUCAAACCCACUUCAAAGCUCCCACUUUGCUGAAGUGACCCAUCUUUCCCUAAUACAGAAUUACCGUGGUGCAAGGGGACAGGAUGCAAGUAUCCUCUACCUGUGCUGGGCCAGAAGAUUGCAGCACAAAGGUGUAAACAAACAAAACCCAGUGGCAGCACUUCUGUCACAGUAACAUCUGAAAACCACAAGUCAGCUCAGGGCUCCACACUUGCAAGGUGAAAAAUGAAAUAAAAGUCCCUGGGUUUUAGAGAGGGUUUUUAGAGAAGGAAAGGUUGUCAGAUCAAGUCUCAGCUCUGAGUAAUUAAAAGACUCUCUAGCUAAGUAACUCGCCUCGUUUUACAGUGGAAAAAAAUAAAAUAAAUUAAAAAAAACAAGGCAGAGGCAAGAGCUUAUCUACUUCAGAUAAGUGCAAGAUACCGUUCCAGCAGAUUGUUGGUAGACCAUCCCACCCACACAGCAAUUAAACAGGACACAUUUUAAUGAAUGCUGUGUGCUUUGAAAAAGGUUUUUUGGUUAU